rnacentral:rRNA from 1 species
UACGUAGGGUGCAAGCGUUGUCCGGAAUUAUUGGGCGUAAAGAGCUUGUAGGCGGUUUGUCGCGUCUGCUGUGAAAUUUCGGGGCUCAACCCCGAACUUGCAGUGGGUACGGGCAGACUAGAGUGUGGUAGGGGAGACUGGAAUUCCUGGUGUAGCGGUGAAAUGCGCAGAUAUCAGGAGGAACACCGAUGCGAAGGCAGGUCUCUGGGCCAUAACUGACGCUGAGAAGCGAAAGCAUGGGGAGCGAACAGG